rnacentral:misc_RNA from 1 species
AUGAUGGCACCACUUACCGUAAGGUACUCUUUUUUCUUCUUUUAAUUCGAUCUAGUCUUGUUGCUUUAGAUUUACCUUGUUUUUGCUCUUCUCUGCUGUUGAUUUGGGAAGGAAAUGGAUCUUUUUAUUUGGAUCGAGCUUCUAUCUUUGCUUCGCUUGCUUUUAGAUUGCUUAUUUCCUCGGGAUUUUUAGUUUCUUUGAAAAAUUUAUCCUGGGUGUUUGUUUUAGCUUUGUUGUAUCGUAUCUCUAUUUCAUGUCUGAUUUCUAGUGUCGAUUUUCGUGCUCUAUACUAAUCCCUUUCUAUUCGCAGGGCUUUUAAUUUUAGAACAUGAAAAGUUCAAUGAAUAAUUGUUUAGCUUUUGAUCAAGUACAGAAACUCUAAUUGUUAGUCUUUCUCUUUUUGAUCAAUUUAAAAUCCUUAGUAUUGAGACUCUAAUUGCUCUGUAGGUGUUUUUAAUCUCUUGUGGUGUGCGAUCUGUAACUUCUUCCACCACUGUUUUUUAUACCCAUUUCAUAUUAAUGGUAAUCAUAAUCUGAUAUGGUGCCAUCAUUCUUGGUUUGUUGAUCCAGGGAUGCAAGCCACCCCCAAUUG